rnacentral:rRNA from 1 species
GUGAGACAGGUGCUGCAUGGCUGUCGUCAGCUCGUGUUGUGAAAUGUUGGGUUAAGUCCCGCAACGAGCGCAACCCUUAUCCUUUGUUGCCAGCGAUUAGGUCGGGAACUCAAAGGAGACUGCCAGUGAUAAACUGGAGGAAGGUGGGGAUGACGUCAAGUCAUCAUGGCCCUUACGACCAGGGCUACACCCGUGCUACAAUGGCGCAUACAAAGAGAAGCGACCUCGC